CCUACGGGUGGCAGCAGUGGGGAAUAUUGGACAAUGGGCGAAAGCCUGAUCCAGCCAUGCCGCGUGUGUGAAGAAGGCCUUCGGGUUGUAAAGCACUUUCAGUGGGGAAGAAAGCCUUGGGGCUAAUACCCUCGAGGAAGGACAUCACCCACAGAAGAAGCACCGGCUAACUCCGUGCCAGCAGCCGCGGUAAUACGGAGGGUGCGAGCGUUAAUCGGAAUUACUGGGCGUAAAGCGCGCGUAGGCGGUCUGAUAAGCCGGUUGUGAAAGCCCCGGGCUCAACCUGGGAACGGCAUCCGGAACUGUCAGGCUAGAGUGCAGGAGAGGAAGGUAGAAUUCCCGGUGUAGCGGUGAAAUGCGUAGAGAUCGGGAGGAAUACCAGUGGCGAACGCGGCCUUCUGGACUGACACUGACGCUGAGGUGCGAAAGCGUGGGUAGCAAACAGGAUUAGAUACCCUAGUAGUC
rnacentral:rRNA from 1 species